ensembl:lncRNA novel transcript
GGCUAGUGCGGAGAGACACAGCGGAGAUAGCGCGCCUGCUAAAGGCUGCCGCCGCCAACACCUUAGGUGAAUACCGAGCUCCAGGAAGGUCGCUGUGGGUAGGGCAUGUGGGAAACGAGGCCAGGGGGAGAAGGAGGCCUCAACGUGGCCAAAGCACCUUGAUGAUGCGCUCUGUCCCCGGAGGCGCGUUCCACGGCCGCUGCCGGCACCUAGGCAGAGGGAUACGUUCCAGAAACACCUCAGCUUAGCGCGGGGAUGGCCUUCUUGUGCGUGAGUCCCUCUGCACACGGGAACUGUGCGCCCUGGGCACUGCACCUUCCAGUAUGUGGGCCGGAGAGGCGGGGGAUCUUGCCCAGCGGGUCCGACAGGGCAUGGAAGGAAGUAAAUGGAAGCCGGUAGGCUGGCUGCUCUAAGUUGAUCUGGUGCCUUGGUCACUCGUGGCUUCUUUCUUCUAUGCCAGCUCUGUCUUCUCUACACUUCCUCUGGAGGAGUAGGCCUUGACACAAUUACAAGAAGUCAGGGACCCUGAACAGAGGGACCAGCUGAAGUCACAGCAGAAGAACAUAAAUUGUGAAGAUUUCAUGGACAUUUAUUAGUUCCCCAAAUUAAUACUUUUAUAAUUUCUUAUGCCUGUCUUUACUGCAAUCUCUGAACAUAAAUUGUGAAGAUUUCAUGGACAUUUAUCACUUCCCCAAUCAAUACUCUUAUAAUUUCCUAUGCCUGUCUUUAAUCUCUUAAUCCCAUCAUCUUCCUAAACUGAGGAUGUAUGUCGCCUCAGGACCCUGUGAUGAUUGCAUUAUCUGCACAAGUUGUUUGUAAAGCGUGUGUGUUUGAACAAUAUGAAAUCUGGGCACCUUGAAAGGAACAGGAUAACAGUGAUUUUCAGAGAACAAGGGAGAUAACCAUAAGGUCUGACUGCCUGCAGGACCGGGCAGAACAGAGUCGUAUUUCUCUUCUUACAGAAAGCGAAUAGGAGAAAUAUUGCGAAUUCUUUUCUCAGCAAGGAAUAGCCCUGGGAAAGGAAAGCAUUCCCAGGGGGAGGUCUCUAAAAUGGCUGCUCUGGGAGUGUCUGUCUUAUGUGGUUGAAGAUAAGGGAUGAAAUACACCCUGGUCUCCUGCAGCGCCCUCAGGCUUGCUAGGAUUAGGAAAUUCCAGCCUGGCGAAUUCUAAUCAGACCAGUUGUCUGCUCUCGAACCCUAUUUCCUGCUAAGAUGUUUAUCAAGACAAUGCGUGCCCAGUGGGACAUGGAACCUCAUCAGUAAUUCUAAUUUCACCCUGGCCCUGUGAUCUCGCUCUGCCCUUCUGCGCUUGUAAUCUUUUAUUGCCUCUUGAAGCAUGUGAUCUGUGUGAUUUACUCCCUGUUCAUACCCCCUUCCCCUUUUCAAAUCCCUAAUAAAAACUUGUUGGUUUUGCGGCUCAAGGGGCAUCACGGAACCUGCCGACAUGUGAUGUCACCCCUGGAGGCCCAGAUGUAGAAUUUC